CUAAACAUACAUUCUAACUAAAUGAAGAAUCUUUAUAAACUCACAGAAAUACAUUUUUCAAAUAACUAUUUGUGGUCUAAAACAUAAUUUUUUACUUGUUCUUUUUUCUUGUUCUCUUCUCUUCUUCUGGAAAAUAGUGUAAUGCUCUAGCCCGAUCGCCAUCUAGUGUCCAAACUGAAACAUUCUCCAGGAGAAGCAGAACAAUGUUUACAAUGUUAAUGAACAUUUUAGUUAGAACUUCUCCUUUAGAGAAUCCAUGUAACACUGGAUGAUAUUAACAAUCUCAGUAUUUCACUGAUACAUUUUACAGUAUGAGAACUGGAUCAGAUUAAUAUAAAUAUAUUUAAAUCAUAUUGUAGAUUAUUAAUGUAUUUCUAAACAAAUGUGUAUAAAUGCUGAGUUGAAGAAUUGAAAGAACUGGGGAGAAAAAUCAGAAUAAAAUUGAUCCAGACUCUGAUGAAUCGAAUCGUUUCUGGAAAUCAUAAUUGAUUCUCUAGUCAGGAGAGUUGUCCGCAGCGUGUUCGGCCUGAACCCCUCCCUCCCCGCUGCGUGGGGGCGUCAGUCCUGUGCGCUCAUGAGUCCGCAGCAUGCUCAGUUAACGCUCACCAGAGUCAGAGCAACAGAAUCUGUCAUCUUCCACGCACGCGGCUGUGUCACGGCCAGAACUGCUUUUCAACAAGGUGUCUCUGUGGCAAACACAUCGCCCGCACGUGCACGGACCGUCUCCCUGACGGCGCCCUCUGGUGGACGGAACCGGAACAACCGUUCUGAGACGUUCCAAAUAAAACUCUGUCAAAGAUAAAGCUGGCUCCUUCUCUACCGUCUCCAUUAAAGCUUCUGUUCUAAAGGCCUGAAUGCAGUUUAAAUGAACUGAAUUGAGUUCUUCAUAUGUUACAUGUUACCUUCACGGCGCCUCGGAAUUCUUCGGUCCUUCUUCUUCACCUGCAGCGACGUCAGAGUUACAGGGAGCGGAUCUGCGCGGAGGACUUCACCGGGAGAAGCAGGAGCGAGGAGGAGAGACGAGGUCGUCCGAACCGGACAGGGGCUGAGGUCCAACAGAAGCUGCAGCAUCAGCGGGGAGUCAGCUCCAGGACAGAGAUCAUCCGCGGUGCGCAGAGGAGCGCAGAGAUCCUACGGCGCAUGGACUCAGGCGCGCGCGCAUGGACGCACGUGAUUCUGCCUCCCUCUCUGCCCUGCGUCCUCUCAUGAGUGGAGUUUAGUGUCUGCAUCCAAUCUAAUACCUCGUUUGUAUGAAGUCCUUGUGUUUCCAGAAGAAAUGUAUGGAGCUAAAUUGGGGGCAAAAUUAUUUGAAACCCAAAUAAAACAAAUUGAAAAAAAUAAAUAAAUCAAGAAGUCCAAAACGUUUUGCUAUUUUAAAAUAAACUUAAUUAUUUUUAGCUGAUCAAUUUUUUAGUUUUAAAAUUCACAUUUUAAAUUUCAAAACUUUUUUUUAAGUUUAGAAUCUUUUUUUUCACUCUUUCUUUGUUUUGGAAUAUGAAAAUUUCAGUUUCAAAACUUUUGGCCCCAUUUUGGCGCCUUGGGGCGGGGCUAACACGAAGGACCAAUAAAAAUCAUCAGGCUGG
ensembl:lncRNA